UACGGAGGAUGCAAGCGUUAUCCGGAAUGAUUGGGCGUAAAGCGUCCGCAGGUGGCUAUGUAAGUCUGCUGUUAAAGAGUGAGGCUCAACCUCAUAAGAGCAGUGGAAACUACAUGGCUAGAGUGCGUUCGGGGCAGAGGGAAUUCCUGGUGUAGCGGUGAAAUGCGUAGAGAUCAGGAAGAACACCGGUGGCGAAAGCGCUCUGCUAGGCCGCAACUGACACUCAUGGACGAAAGCUAGAGGAGCGAAUGGG
rnacentral:rRNA from 1 species